CAUUUCAUCCGUUGCUACCUGGAAGAGGCGAAGGGGAAGAGCGCUCCACUUCCGCCCGAAGAGCAGGAGCGCACGGAGGAGGAGAUGCUGAUGGAGAUCAGCCGGUUCGCCAUGGCGUCUCACUUCUUCUGGGGCCUGUGGUCCAUCUUGCAGGCCAAGAUCUCCACCAUUGAGUUUGGCUACCUGGAGUAUGCCCAGUGCCGCUUCGAGGCCUACUUCCAGCAAAAGGCUGCCUGCCAGUGACCAGUGACCCUUUGGCCGGAGGAGGAGACAGCUGGACAUCCGCUCUGCCUGGACGGAAAGGGACCCUUCUUCUGCUGCUGGACCAAAGCCCCUUCUCUCUCUCUCUCUCUCUCUCUCUCUCUCUCUCUUCCUUCAAAGGCUAUCGGGGUUGGCUGGCCAGCCCUUGACCUUUGGGGUCAAAACGGUUGGACAUCUCAAGACGCUGCAAUAGAGCCUCCAGACUUGGUUUUGUGA